rnacentral:rRNA from 1 species
ACUGCUCAGUAACACGUGGACAACCUACCCUGAAGAGGGGGAUAACCCCGGGAAACUGGGGAUAAUACCCCAUAGGCUAUGGAUGCUGGAAUGCUCUGUAGUUGAAAGGUCCGCCGCUUCAGGAUGGGUCUGCGGCCAAUUAGGUUGUUGUUGGGGUAACGGCCCAACAAGCCUGUAAUCGGUACGGGUUGUGGGGGCAAGAGCCCGGAGAUGGAUUCUGAGACACGAAUCCAGGCCCUACGGGGCGCAGCAGGCGCGAAAACUUUGCAAUGCGAGCAAUCGUGACAAGGGAACUCCGAGUGCCUGUAAAAUCAGGCUGUCCGCCAGUGUAAAUAACUGGUGAAGAAAGGGCCGGGCAAGACCGGUGCCAGCCGCCGCGGUAAUACCGGCGGCUCGAGUGGUGGCCACUAUUACUGGGCUUAAAGCGUUCGUAGCUGGUCUGUUAAGUCUCUGGGGAAAUCUUCCGGCUUAACCGGAAGGCGUCUCAGGGAUACUGGCAGACUAGGGACCGGAAGAGGUGAGAGGUACUCCAGGGGUAGGAGUGAAAUCCUGUAAUCCUUGGGGGACCACCUGUGGCGAAGGCGUCUCACCAGAACGGCUCCGACAGUGAGGAACGAAAGCUGGGGGAGCAAACCGGAUUAGAUACCCGGGUAGUCCCAGCUGUAAACGAUGCGCGUUAGGUGUAUCGGUGACCACGAGUCACCGAGGUGCCGAAGAGAAAUCGUGAAACGUGCCGCCUGGGAAGUACGGUCGCAAGGCUGAAACUUAAAGGAAUUGGCGGGGGAGCAC